UACGGAGGAGGCAAGCGUUAUCCGGAAUUACUGGGCGUAAAGCGCACGCAGGCGGUCUUUUAAGUUUGACGUGAAAGCUCCCGGCUUAACUGGGAGAGGUCGUUGAAGACUGGAAGACUUGAGGCAAUGAGAGGGGUGUAGAAUUCCCGGUGUAGUGGUGGAAUGCGUAGAUAUCGGGGGGGAAUACCAGUGGCGAAAGCGGCGCCCUAGCGUUAGCCUGACGCUCAUGUGCGAAAGCGUGGGGAGCGAACGGG
rnacentral:rRNA from 1 species